AAUUAUUUAUAAUAUUAUUCAGAGCAGUAUAAUCAUAUUAUUAUUAUAUCUACAAGUCUUUAUUAAUAUAAUAAGCAAAAUAAAAUUCAUGUAUACAAAUGUAGUUUAAGGUAAAGUAACAGCCAAUUGUAGGAUCGGGUUGUUAGCUCCGCCCCUUCCAGCUUGCCGGCAGAGAGAGACACAGAGCAGAGACGAGACCGGUUAUCUGAGCAAUAGAGAGGAGUAAACUUGAACAAAAAGGAUAGAAUACGGCCAGGUUUUUUUCUGAGGAGAUUUUCCCGGUUUCCCUGGAUUCUUUGUAUUGAUGGCGAGCCUCCCACGUCGACCUGGAAAGUCGUGAAGUACCCAAAUUUUCAGUUUAUCCUCCUUUCACCGGAUAAAGUAAGAAUAUACCAAAAAGUUAUUUCCUUUAAUGGACUGGGAUUCCGAACACAGCUGUAAGGACUGAUUUUCUUGACAGAAAAAACAGAACUUGAACUUAAUUGAACUGAGUUCACUGAUUUCAGUGUGAACAACCAUACUGAUUUAUUUGUGUUAUUUUUAUGGUUUCUUUUGGUUUUACUUGAACUCAUUUAUUGUGAUUUUGUUUUUUGAUUUAUGACAAUUGUAAAGUGGGUGCACCCUGGGGACCAUGUGUAAAUAGUUUUGUAUUUCUAAGGUAAUUAUUGUUUUCUGAGAAAAAUAUAAGGAAAGAGAAAAAACAUACAAUCCAAAGUAAAAGUAUUUUUAUAUUUAAAA